UUGCUGCUCCUCCUCUCUCUCUCUCCGCACCUAGCAGUGCAGCAGCCGGGACAAGGGGAAGGAGCAGCUCAACCCGGCUCCAUCUCUCUCUGGAUGAGCAGGUGGCGAGGGAAGCCGCCACAGCUAGCGGCGGUGCUGCACAGGAACGUCCACCUCCAGGUCUCCAUCCUGUCUCAGAUCCCUUUCCGUUUCAGUGUUGUUCUUUUUUCUCUUGGUGUGCGCUCUCCUGCAUCUCGCGCGGCAGGGAGUGGUGGUGACUAGCAUAGAAGGCGGAGGAGGUCAUUGGAGCCGGCUUCCCUUCCGCUUUGGCUGCCAAGCUCCGCGCGUUGGUGAGUCCCUCUCUCUAUCCCUCUACAUCUCUCCCUCUCUCUGUCAGAGGGCAGCUACCAACCCCGAGGUGCAGGCGGCCAUGGAAAAGCAGAAGAUGCCACACCUAGCUUUCCCCCUUGCCUCCUGCCCUUUCUCUUCAGCUCAUUUAUUUACAUGUGCAAAUUCUCUUUUAUCUAUGCCUGCAAGGUGUUUGAUGAAAGUUCAGUAAGGCUGUGAGGGAAUACCAAACAAGAGAGGAUCCAGUAUCUGUAACAUGCAUCAGAUCAGCAGGGGGAAGGUCCAGGGUGAAACCUUCAGGAGGGAUUUGAUGUUGCUAUUGUUUCAGUUUGCAGAUAGAGGAUGUGAUUCCAGCAAGACAGAGACGAUGGCGAUGACAAGUGAGAUUUAUGUUAAGGAGUAUUAGCAUAUGCUCACAGGAUCACUGGAAGCUUAUAAAUGUAUCCGCAAUGAUUGUUGCUUUCUUAUUGACACAUAAUUGAAUUAUAAUUAUAGACAGUAAGAGUAGUUGUCUUUUCAUUUGUUAGAAAACAUAGUGUACCUUUAUAAUCGUAGUUAUAUGCAAUGAUCCAUCAUGUAUUUUUGUUUAAAACUGCAACCCGUAAUUGUUUGAUGUCAUUAAAUGUCUAUAUAUAUAUAUAUAUAUAUAUAUAUAUAUAUAUAUAGUUUACGUUCUUAAAUUAGCCUCCAUACUAUCUGCAUUGUCAUGGUAACCUUGGUAGGUCAUAAUAUGUAGAUCCAUAAUCCCGGUUCAAUUUGAGCUUUCCAUGUGAUUUUUUACCUGAAUAUUAGGAUCACAACUUAAUUAACUUAAAUUAGCAGUAUAGUGUCAAUGGACGUCAUCUGAAGCUAAUAAGAUGUUGUUUAUUGAAGAACAGCCCCUUGCUACUUGCACAGUACAUGAAAAGCACACUAAAUAGAUUAAAGAAAUCAUACUUGACUGUGAUUGCAUUUGGUUGAUGCUUACGUGUAUUUCUCAUGGGUAUACCAAGGGGGCAAUCUUCUAUAUUUCAGGUCCAAAGCUUUCAAUGCAUUUUUUUAUCUGUUUUUCAUGUCCCAAUGAUCAUCUGCAAGUCCGAAUUAUGCCAUUGUUGAUGGUGCACAGGUAUGUUGCAUGGUAAACCCAGUAUUGGCCCUCCUUUCAAGCUCCUGUGUUCAUCCUAGAUAAAAUUCUGGAAAAUACGUCGGAACUAUCUUUUAAUCUUCCAACAGUGUAUUGCUAUGAUUAUAUAUAUGGAUACAUCAUAUCGAUGUGUCUAGAGACCUAAAGCCUUAAGAGUUAAGUGCCAAACUGGGGACUGAUAUUAUAACUGCAGAUGGGCUUUAUUCAGGUAUUUUCUUGCCAUAAAUGAUGAUGUUUGCAGAUGGGCUUUGUUCAGUCAUAAGAGCUUAUCAGUUCAGCCUGCAUACUUUUGUUUCUUCAGUGUACUGUGUCUGAGGAAAGCAUUUAUUUUGUCUCCUGUUUAAGUGAAUUCAUGGCUAAGAUGGACGAAUUUCUAUUAUGUGGGCUGGAGGUUCUUGAGUUAGGGCACUAGCACUAGCUAAGCUUCCAUUCUGGUAAAAUGUAUGACAUGCUUGAUGAGCAUGCAUAUCUAUAUGGUUUUGUGGACACUGAUUUAGUUCCAUGCUAGUUUAUUUCCAGCAGUUGGUCUGCUUCUUCAUAGAGAUUUUAUUAGUACUAAAUUAAAUUAGAAACUGAAUGUGUGCUUCUUUCACCUUCAGUCUGAACAUGACAUUGCCUUAUUUGUGACACAGGUGGAAAUUAGCAAGCAAGAUACAGUCGGUGCAUGGAUGACCAAGAUUACUUAUUACUUUAUGAAGAUGAUGAUUCCUGCAUGUUGAUUGUGCUUCAAGGGUAGAAGAGGAUGGGAGGAGGGGACACGCGCUCUAUAUUUUGUUAUGCACACCUUUCUAAACUAUACUUGUCUUCUUAACACAUGUUCAUUGUCCAGUAGAAGCUGUAGAUUUCAGCGUACAAUAAUUUCCAAAAUGGCAGAAGGUAAGAACCAUGUUACACAUGAUCCUUUUGUGUUCUUUUGAUUUAAAGUAGCAUGUACCUGUUAAACUUGGAGAUGAUUUUCGUGGUGUAUUUAUAAAUUAUCAGCCAAGGUUAUUCCUUCAGGCAAUUUUUUCUUCCCUGAAGCAUAGGCAUAUUGGUUGUUUGGUUGGCUCUCUUUACUAGCACGAAGAUAACUACUAUGUGUUGCUUAGUUAUUAGCGGAUCAAGUGUAUGAAUGAUCUUAUGUUUACCCAGACUUAUAGGUUUCUAAAUACUAGGCUCUUGGGACUUAUUUCUAAGGGUUAGUUUUUUUUGGAUUCAUGUGCUCUGGUGCUACAACCUAGGUAAAGCUCCUUCACAAUAGUGUUUAAAGCUUAAAUUGAUAACUCCAUCAAAGUUAAAGCAUUAGGCUCUCUGCUCUGUGUACGGCCCAAAUGUUCUACAUAAUGCUUUAUAUAGUCCCAUUGUGACUUCUUUUGUUUUCUUAGCGGUCAGUGAUAUUUAAUAUUCAGUCAGAUCUUGGAGGAAAUGUAAAAUAUGCGAGCGUGUGUGCGUGCGUGUGCGUGCGUGUGUGUGUGUGUGUGUG